UGGGGAAUAUUGCACAAUGGGGGAAACCCUGAUGCAGCGACGCCGCGUGAAAGGAAGAAGUAUCUCGGUAUGUAAACUUCUAUCAGCAGGGAAGAUAGUGACGGUACCUGACUAAGAAGCCCCGGCUAACUACGUGCC
rnacentral:rRNA from 1 species